rnacentral:rRNA from 1 species
AAAUUGAAGAGUUUGAUCAUGGCUCAGAUUGAACGCUGGCGGCAGGCCUAACACAUGCAAGUCGAACGGUAACAGGAAGAAGCUUGCUUCUUUGCUGGCGAGUGGCGGACGGGUGAGUAAUGUCUGGGAAACUGCCUGAUGG